rnacentral:tRNA from 1 species
GCCCGGGUGGCUCAGUCGGUUGGGGCGUCUGACUUCGGCUCAGGUCAUGAUCUCGCGGUCGGUGAGUUCGAGCCCCGCGUCGGGCU